UUUCCUGUGGCCCAUGUGGUAGAGCAUUUUGCUAAGAAUGCAAAGUUUGUGGGUUCAAAUCCCAAGGAAGG